CCAUAGCCACGAUAGAAGCGGCAUCCUUUUUUGCGUUUCCCGGAGCGAAGCGGAGGGAACCGCUAAAAAGAUACAGCGGAUAGCGUGAUAAAGC
rfam:Chryseobacterium sp. Hurlburt 01 HurlbutContig21, whole genome shotgun sequence.